GCAAAACGCGAAGAACCUUACCAGGUCUUGACAUCCCGCUGACCGCUCUAGAGAUAGAGUUUUCCCUUCGGGGACAGCGGUGACAGGUGGUGCAUGGUUGUCGUCAGCUCGUGUCGUGAGAUGUUGGGUUAAGUCCCGCAACGAGCGCAACCCUUGAUCUUAGUUGCCAGCAUUCAGUUGGGCACUCUAAGGUGACUGCCGGUGAUAAACCGGAGGAAGGUGGGGAUGACGUCAAAUCAUCAUGCCCCUUAUGACCUGGGCUACACACGUGCUACAAUGGACGGUACAGAGGGUCGCAACCCCGCGAGGGUGAGCAAAUCCCAUAAAACCGUUCUCAGUUCGGAUUGUAGGCUGCAACUCGCCUACGUGAAGUCGGAAUCGCUAGUAAUCGCGAAUCAGAAUGUCGCGGUGAAUACGUUCCCGGGUCUUGUACACACCG
rnacentral:rRNA from 1 species